rnacentral:rRNA from 1 species
UACGUAGGGUGCAAGCGUUGUCCGGAAUUAUUGGGCGUAAAGAGCUCGUAAGCGGUUUGUCGCGUCUGCUGUGAAAACCCGAGGCUCAACCUCGGGCCUGCAGUGGGUACGGGCAGACUAGAGUGCGGUAGGGGAGAUUGGAAUUCCUGGUGUAGCGGUGGAAUGCGCAGAUAUCAGGAGGAACACCAAUGGCGAAGGCAGAUCUCUGGGCCGUAACUGACGCUGAGGAGCGAAAGCGUGGGGAGCAAACAGG